rnacentral:rRNA from 1 species
CAAGCCAACCACAGAAAAGCCAUCUCAGUUCGGAUUGUAGUCUGCAACCCGACUACAUGAAGCUGGAAUCGCUAGUAAUCGCAGAUCAGAAUGCUGCGGUGAAUACGUUCCCGGGUCUUGUACACACCGCCCGUCACACCAUGGGAGUUGGAAAUGCCCGAAGCCAGUGACCCAACCGUAAGGAGGGAGCUGUCGAAGGUGGAGCCGAUGACUGGGGUGAAGUCGUAACAAGGUACC